rnacentral:misc_RNA from 1 species
AAAUGCGUUAAGUAAUGUGAAUUGCAGAAUUCAGUGAAUCAUCGAAUCUUUGAACGCACCUUGCGCUCCUUGGUAUUCCUUGGAGCAUGCCUGUUUGAGUAUCAUGAAAUCUUCAAAGUAAAUCUUUUGUUAACUCAAUUGGUUUCUACUUUGGUAUUGGAGGUCUUUGCAGCUUCACACCUGCUCCUCUUUGUUCAUUAGCUGGAUCUCAGUGUUAUGCUUGGUUCCACUCGGCGUGAUAAGUUAUCUAUCGCUGAGGACACUGUAAAAGGUGGUCAAGGUAAAUGCAGAUGAACCGCUUCUAAUAGUCCAUUGACUUGGACAAUACUUUUAUGAUCUGAUCUCAAAUCAGGUAGGACUACCCGCUGAACUUAAGC